ensembl:lncRNA ZNF436-AS1 ZNF436 antisense RNA 1
GAGAGGCCCCGCGCCGCCCCGCGCCGGGGCGACUCGGGAGUGCGGUCGGCAGUAGAGCCUGGCGGUGUCUUGGCUUCGGCGCUUUAACCCUGUAGGGGCGUGCGACUGCGUCCUUCUCAAGGGGGCGCCCCUCGAGCGGCGGGCUGAGUGGCGUCCAGCGGCGGGGAGGCGAAAACCCUGGGGGACUCAGAAGCGGGUGGCGGUGUAGGGCGUGUAAGGAGGAGAUAGCCAGGCCCCUGCGGGGGGGGCGGGCCCUCCUUAGCGUCCCAGAGGGCUUGUCUGCUACAGGGGCUCCCAGCGGCCUCCCGCACCGAAGGGACCCUGGGCGUCUGAGGCCCUGAUCCGGGCGGGCCUUCAGGAUGUUAGCAGUCCCUGUCCGGUUGAAGGUAGGAAGCCGAAAACCCGAGUGGGGGACGAACAGACUUACCUCCUGUCCCGCAAAAGAUCCACUAGAUCGUCGUCUCCAAAACCUGAGAGACCGCGAACGGGUUCCAGAGCCGCAGCGUUCUCUCAGACCUGGCGUUCAGGAAGAUUCUAGAGAGCACGGGCAGGUCCCGGAGGUCUCAGACCCGCAGGCCUGCGGGGCGGGGGCGGGGUGGCGCCCAGGACGACUCCCCGGGCUCAGCUUGGCUGCCUGCCUCCUUCUCAAACAAUGAGUACCUACUGUGUGUAGAAGCAGCAGGACAGCCUGUCAUCACUGGGAAAGAGGCCAGAAGAGCCGUUUGGCCAGGGUCUCCAAUUUAGGCUUUCAACAUUAUCUCUAAAGAAGGUUAUACAUUAUGUCGGCUCCACUGGCUGAUGGGAUCAAAGACCCUCCUUGUAUAUCCUUAAACCUGUACUCUAUUACCAGGCCACUGUGCCUGUGGAGCACUGUAAGUUCCUACCUUUUAAUAAAUUUUAUAAUUAUCUUGUGAGCAGCACAA